CAACGGUUUUGGUCGUCUUCCUAGGAGUUUGCUCGUGGGGAAAUGGCGACAUGAGGCUGUGUGAUGAAGUGUCAAAAUAGAGAGAAGCUAGCUGAAGUUAUCCUUCACCAUUUGGAGAGAGAUGCCAACUGUUGAUAAUGUGAUAUGAUAAAGGACCGACUCAGAUUAAGUCUGAGGCCAGUAACAUCAACAGUGAGGACAAACUCAGCCUGCCUCCUUCCACACUGAGUAGAAACCUACAGUCACUGGGUCCUGAUUGUGACAGUGGAGCCCAGUUUGCUCUGCAGGAUUCAGAGAUGGCAUCAGUGAAGCUGGAAGACUGCAGUCAAACACUGGAGCUGAAUGUCAACAUUAAAGAUGAAGAAGAGGAGGAGAAGAUUAGGACAACUGUUAGUCACGGCCGGUGGUAGCUGGUCCCAUGCAGGAAGGUGAGGUUCCGGAGGUCCCUCCGCCCCCUCUGGACAUCGAGGGGUCCCCGGAGUACACGAUACGAGCUAUUCUGGACUCAAGACGCCGGGUGAGGGGCCUGCAGUACCUCGUUGACUGGGAGGGGUACGGUCCGGAGAGAGGUGCUGGGUCCCGGUGGGGGAUAUUCUGGAUCCAUCCAUGUUGAGAGAGUUCCAUCGCCUCCAUCCGGAUCGCCCUGCGCCUCGGCCCCAGAGU